rnacentral:rRNA from 1 species
GACGAACCGAGCGAACGUUUGUUCGGAAUCACUGGGCUUAAAAGGGUGCGUAGGCGGGCUGCCAAGUUUUGAGGUGAAAUCCCCGGGCUCAACCCGGGAACUGCGUCCGAUACUGGAAGGCUUUGAAUCCGGGAGAGGGGAUGCGGAAUUCCAGGUGUAGCGGGUGGAAAUGACGUAGAUAUCUGGAGGAACACCGGUGGCGAAGGGCGGCAUCCUGGACCGGUAUUGACGCGUGAGGAGGCGGAAAAGCCAGGGG